GCAAUGUGUCGGAAUGGCUCUCGCAAAGAUUGGAUCUGAGAGGGGGAAAAAGGGGGAACCUUCCUCCUGGAGCAAUCCUGCACGCACUUUGCAGCUGCCUCUGCCUCCAGCCUUCUGCAGCUCGUGGAAAAGUUGCACCAAAAAAAAAAAAAAUGUUGCAGCUGUAGGAUCUAGGGGGUUUUAUUUUUUCUUAUUAUUUUGAUCUUUUUUCUUUUUUCUUUUUUCUUUUUAAAGAAAAACAAAAACUUUCCAAUCUCUUCUGGUCCGUUUGGAAAGCGUUUCAGAGCAGGUACGGUCCCAGAGAGCCAGACUAGCCCGGGCUAACGGGGAGUGAGUGGAUCUGUGUGAUUUGCACUCUCAGAACUUUGUGCUCAGAGAACCAAAAUCUGCUUCUGGGAUGAAAAGAAACUCUAACUUCUGCUUCUCAGGGCUGUGGGAGCCUUGUCCCUCUUUGAACAUCUGGACUGGUGUGCAGCAGCAUUCACUAGGAAAAGAAGCCCACAUGGAGAACCAGGCAUGAAGCUGAAGGCAAGAGUCAACUCUUCUUUGUUCCAGAUGUGCUGGCCCAAUGUCGAGGGGAUGCUAAGGCAGCGGCUCACCCAACUCUGCUGGCUUUGGGAGGGAGCUCGGGGGUCCCCAGUCUCAUCACUUACAUGGAGGUCAGCGUGCGGUUAGGUUUUGCUGGAAGGCAAGGAGCAGGAAGGAGCUCACUGAGCUCAGUACGAAGAGCCACUCCUGACUUUUCAGUGAGGAGCUACCCAAAAACGUUCAUCAGUCUUUAAAAACAAGACUCUUGGAUUCGUUUGACUAUCUUGGAUUAUUUCCCACUUCCUAAAUGAAGUGGCCACCAGGAGUAAUGUUUUCUGGUCUAGGAACAUCACACUGGGCUUUUUAUUUUGUACUCUAAAUGAAUGGUUAAUUUUAAGUUGCUCAUGUUCAUAAUUUCACAUGUAGCAGAUCAUAAUUAAGAUCAUAAGCCACAGCACCUGACAUGGCUGCUUGACAUGACGGUCUGCUCCACAGACAUCCCUCACCAAAAAUCCUCCCUUUGAAGUCAAGAGAAGGUCCACAGAGAUGAGCAAUGGAUGCCCACUAUUUAUGUUACCCACCAGUCAUAAAAUGAUGAUUAUUUUAUAUAAAUGAUAAAUGAUGAUACCCACCCACUGAUGAUUUCUCCUAAAUAUUUCUUGGAUCUUAAUCACAUUUUUUUAGCUCCACGGUGCUGGAGUUACACAGCCACUGAGGGAUACUUGGUAUUCAUCAUGCUCCCUCUCUUGAACUUCACGUCUCCAGCUGGGCUGCCACAACCAUCUCCCAGGAGGACCUCUGGACCCCUGAAAACAUUGGUACAGCUGCAGCUGGGGUUAUAGCCUAAAACUGCUCCCUUUCACCUGGCUCCAGUGAACUGCAUUGCCUCCAUCCAACACAAAACCUGUGCACGAUCCCCCGUUUCAGCGGGGCCAACAGCAGGGACUGAACCGGGUGAAGAAAGAAACCGUUUUUCCUGUGUUCACCAUUUUAAUUGACUUCUCCUUUCAUUUGUUCCCCGUUGGUGCCCUCCGACUGCAAAUGUUCAAGUGGCUGUAGUAACCCCCAGGAAAAAAAAAAAAAAAGUGGUGCUUAAUGAGAUUUUUAUGUGUGGGUGUUUAAGUAUCCGCAUGAAGCAAAUUCCUAGCCUCUUCUAAUCAGAAUGAGAAGGAGACCAUGUGAGUGAUGUGACCAAUUAUGACCGAGCACCCCAGAGCAGCUUCUGAAUAUUCACGUCCAAUUGCUACUUUGGUGGAACAAUUGGUUUGAACAGUUUGAAAAGGCAAUGAUGUCAAACGUGCGGCGUGAUUAAACACAGUGAAAUUACCAGCCGUUGUAGCUGAAAGAGAAGCUCUGUUCCCUCCCCAGGGCAACGCUGCUUUCAAAUUUUGCUCUGGCUGGAGCAGGAAACAACAUCCUCAGGUGGCCUGUUCCUGCACCCCCAAAUUGCUCACUGCAAAGGUGUAGCUGAGCUUUGGAGGCAGCAUGGACCGGGACUUGCACGGGAGCUUUGAUAUGGGUGCAGAGAGCUGAAUGCAACCUCUUCACCCUGACCCUCACGCAGAGCCACACUUCUACCCCUGGCAGUGUAACCCAGAGGCACAUUUUGUAAGCACACGGUGCUGCAAAUGUGAUGUGAAUUGGUGAGUUUUGGGGCCAAGCAUCUGGGGGUUGAACUGUCAAGACAACAGCCAAAAGCCAUGCCUUUUCCAUUGGUAUCAGGAGCAGCUGGGAGCUCUUCCAUUUCUGUGCAGACAAGGAGCACACCGCACAUGGUCCUGCUGCACGAUUCACACCUAUUUCUGCCAUCACUGAAAAUGGCCUACUCCCUUUCAAAAAAAUGACUAUUAAUUCGACUGUCCAGCUCCCUCCUAUUUUAAAAAUGCACAUACCACUGUAAGUUACAGCUCAGUAGCAACCCCAGCUUUAUGAGCAAUCCAAGUCCAAGCAUUAGGAGAAGCAGCAGUUUUUUGUUGUAAUGCAUGGAGAAGUGCGGUUCCCAGAUGGCAGAAGGGAUCUGUGAGCACACAUGGGGAGAAAAAUGUAAUACAUCCUCGGCAUCAUGUCUUAUACCAAGCCCUUGUCACAGAGCAUGGGCACAGAACCCCUGCCCGCCCCCGGCUGCUCCCAUUUGGGGCCAGCUCCGCGAACAAUUGCCCUGCUCCUGGUCCCCUUGGGAAGGUGACUGUGCACACCCAUGUACAAAAAAAAAGUAUUUUUCUUAAACAUCAACUCCCACACUUUUGUGCAAAAUGCUUCUUAAACCUGAUACACGAGUCUCACUUCAGCAAAAAGCCUGCAUAAAAUCCUGCCUGAAACCGGGGAACUUUUUCUUUUCCUUUCUUCUCAUUUCCUACUCAGAGAUCUGAGCUAUUUUUCCCUAUCCAUAGGCUCCCCCCACCCCCUCAAAAAAAAAAAAAAAAAAAGGCGGGGGGGGGAGAGACUGUAUUCACUAAUUAUACAUCCUGAAAAGAAUUUGGUUCAGUGUAAGAUGAUCCUAGUGAUAUGCUAAUCCUUUUUUCUGCUUGGUGCAGCCUGAAGCCUGUGUCUAACAUUUUUUUCAACUGUAUGACAAUAAAAGUUGUGGCAACAAAAGAAAUAAAUGGGCAGCUAAAGAAGGUAUAGCUGAAACACAUGGCAGACCAGUUCUCUCCUCUCCUUCUGGCUGCUCUUUUGUAGGCUCUGGUUUGGUAUCCUCAAGUCAAUAGCCGAAAGCCAGCCACCUUAGCAACUUAGUAUGACACCCAAGCCCUCUCUCUUUACAUUCAUGAAUAGUCAGCAAGCAGCAGACAAAAUAGAACUAAUCUUUUUUGACAGAAUUGUUCAAUUUUAGGGGAAAGGCUUUUGAGGCACCUUCCAUACAUUUGCAGAAUAUGAGACAACAAUGGCCAUGAUCACAGUUUACAAAAGGACGACCAGGGGUGUGAGCACACACACACACACACAACAGCCAUUUCGAUAAAAUAUCGCAGCUAAGUUGAAGUGAUUGCAGGAUACGGCCAUUGUUAGGGGGGAAGCUGGCAGGCAAGAAAAAAUAAAUGAAGCAAAAAAAAAUCUCCAUUGUUUUGUUGCUGAUACAUACACAACCCGACAAUGCAUGAUUAAGGUUAUUUGUCUUGAUUAGUAGAAGUUAAGAGAGCUGAUUAAUAUCCACUCUCUAAUUUCCUGUCAUAGGCUGAUAACUUCAUCUUUUUUUUUUUUCCUUUUUUGGACCAAUGAUUCUUAUUGUGAAAUGCAUUCAAUCCAGUGGGUUCUCACCUGCAUUUAAAAGCUGGUUUUGCCAUUUCAAAAUCCUGUGACACAGCAGCCACUCACAAGUCUAAUAUGUGAGAGAAGGACAUUCCUCCUUUUCCCUUUUCUCCCCUCCAUUUAAUGCAAGCCAUAUAUCUAUCUCCAAAUAUAGUCUGAGCAGGAAAGAGAAGGAAAUAAUAAUAAUAAUACUAAUGAAAAUCUACCCAGUCUAUGGGCAAAAACUGAAGUUAGCAACAUGGUCCAUGCAGCUGCAACACUACAUUUAAAAUUCAGUUUACUCCUAGGAAGAGGGCUAAUCCUGCCCCUGUAAUUCCCUACAGCCAAAAUGUACCCCCCUCCCUGAGUGACAGUGCAAUGCAAAGACACUCGCACGCUUAUCUUCCCCAACCAGAUGGCCGACUUGGAUCAAUGCACACACGCCACGAUCAAUGGGAGCGAUAAAGAAUUAGGAAAACAGUGGUACAUGCUCCCAGAAAGCUUGUACACUGCAUAAUUAUUUUAUGAUUCUACACAUGGCUACAUGUGAUACUGGAGUCAAGAAGGAAAAGGAUAAUUAGAGAGCCAGAAAGCACCCGUACUGCACUACACACUUUGUCAGUCAGCAGUUCCCACUCGGCUCAACUCACCGCUGUUAUCUCCUCUCCUGCCCCCUUGCAAACGAAUUUUGGGAAUACGUAAAAUAUUAGGGGGAGGUGGCUUCUGGGUUACAGAUACAGGAUGCGGGAGAUUACCAUGCCCUGUGAUACGACUGCAAAAGUUUUUGGCUGAGGGCUGGGGUUGACCGCAUGCCUCGGCGGGGACUGUGCUGGGGUGGCAUCCGAGGAGACACUGCAAUGAGCAGGGGUGGCAGGUGAGCGUUUCCAUGGCUUUGUCAUCAGAGGGA